ACUUCAAUCUGUUAGUGAAGUCCGUUAGUGAUCAAUUGAAUUCUUGUAGUGUAGUAUAAUCGUAGUUUAUAUCUUGAAACUAUAAUAAUUUGCAUUGGGCUAACCAACACUCAUUAAUCAAACUAAAUUAUUGUGCCAUUCAUAAUGUUAUGUCUUCUAUCUCUAUAUAAAAUUACUAAACAAACCUAAAUAUUACAUCCUUUUACAUCAAAAAGAUUCCCAUAUUACUAUGUCUUUCUUCAAUGGCAACCAGUACUCCUGUGAAGAAAAGUAACAGCAAAUAGACUUUACUAGCAUCUCUAACAACUUUAGAAACCAUGUAUCAAAUUACCAGAGGCCUUCUGGAUCUGAAAGAUGAAAUCAAGAACUUUCUAAAGAGAAUAGUAAAAUAAUAUGGA
rnacentral:lncRNA from 1 species